rnacentral:rRNA from 1 species
GGGGAAUUUUCCUGCAAUGGGCGCAAGCCUGACGGAGCAACGCCGCGUGAGGGAGGAAGGCCCUAGCGGUUGUAAACCUCUUUUCUCUGGGAAGAAGAUCCGACGGCACCAGAGGAAUAAGCCUCGGCUAACUCCGCUGCCAGCAGCCGCGGAUAAGACGGAGGAGGCAAGCGUUAUCCGGAAUUAUUGGGCGUAAAGCGUCCGCAGGCGGUUUUUUAAGUCUGUUGUCAAAGCCCACAGCUCAACUGUGGAUCGGCAAUGGAAACUGGGAGACUAGAGUGUGGUAGGGGUAGAGGGAAUUCCCGGUGUAGCGGUGAAAUGCGUAGAUAUCGGGAAGAACACCAGUGGCGAAGGCGCUCUACUGGGCCACAACUGACGCUGAGGGACGAAAGCUAGGGGAGCGAAAGGGAUUAGAUACCCCUGGUAGUC